AGCCCAUUAGCUAGCCCGCCCCAAACAAAAAAAACCAACCACCCCUAUUAAUAAACCCAAAUACACUUAACCGUAUGUAUUAAACCAUUUUUCCCCCUAAGUACAGGAGAUCAAAAAGGAAACAAGGAGCUAUAGAAAAAGUACCGCAAGGGAACGCUGAAAGAGAGAUGACAAAGCCCAGUAAAGCCCAAAAAAGCAGAGAUUCCACCUUGUACCUUUUGCAUCAUGAUUUAGCCAGCAUACUCAAGCAAAGAGAACUUUAGUUUGACCCCCCGAAACUGAGUGAGCUACUCCAAGACAGCCUGUUAAGCAGGGCAAACCCGUCUCUGUGGCAAAAGAGUGGGAAGAGCUUCGAGUAGGGGUGACAGACCUAUCGAACCCAGUUAUAGCUGGUUGCCUGAGAACUGGAUUUGAGUUCAGCUUGCCAGCUUCUCCAUUCAUCCUUAUGUUACAAUUCAUAUAGAUACUUAAAGAAACUGACAUAGUUAGUCAAAGGGGGUACAGCCCCUUUGAAACAGGACACAACCUUUUAAGGUGGAUAAAGAUCAAACUCAAUAAGGACAAAUGUUUUGGUGGGCCUAAGAGCAGCCAUCCUCACAAAAAGCGUUAAAGCUUGAACAUACACAUCCUCCCUUGAUCCCGAUAAAAAUAUCUCAAUCCCCUAAUUUGUAUCAGGCCAUCCUAUGCCAACAUAGGAGCAACUAUGCUAAUAUGAGUAAUAAGAGAGCCCACCUCUCUCCUUGCACACCUGUAAAUCGGAACGGACCUCCCACCGAACCUUAACGGCCCCAAUUAGAGAGGGAAAUGCGGUACAGUCGUAAUUAUCUAGAAGACCCCCCAAAAAUUAACCGUUACCCCAACACCGGAGUGCUAUCAAGGAAAGACUAAAAGAAGAAGAAGGAACUCGGCAAACACCUGAAGCCUCGCCUGUUUACCAAAAACAUCGCCUCUUGCAAAACUAACGAAUAAGAGGUCCCGCCUGCCCAGUGACACUAGUUCAACGGCCGCGGUAUUUUGACCGUGCUAAGGUAGCGUAAUCACUUGUCUUUUAAAUGAAGACCUGUAUGAAUGGCAUUACGAGGGCUUAACUGUCUCCUCCUUCCAGUCAAUGAAAUUGAUCCCCCCGUGCAGAAGCGGGGAUCCGCCCAUAAGACGAGAAGACCCUAUGAAGCUUUAGGUACUAAAGCAGCCCACGUAAAUCACCCUCCAGACAAGGACCUAAACUUUAUGGUCUCUGCCCUAGUAUCUUCGGUUGGGGCGACCCUGGGGAAAUACAAAACCCCCAUGUGGAAUGGGAGCACUACCCUUAUUUGUUCCAUGCUCCUACAAACUUGAAAAACAAUUCUAGUUAACAGAAUUUUUGACCAAACAUGAUCCGGCAACGCCGAUUAACGAACCAAGUUACUCUAGGGAUAACAGCGCAAUCCUCUUUUAGAGCCCAUAUCGACAAGGGGGUUUACGACCUCGAUGUUGGAUCAGGACAUCCUAAUGGUGCAGCCGCUAUUAAGGGUUCGUUUGUUCAACGAUUAAAGUCCUACGUGAUCUGAGUUCAGACCGGAGCAAUCCAGGUCAGUUUCUAUCUAUGCAGUGAUCUUUUCUAGUACGAAAGGACCGAAAAGAAGAGGUCAAUGCUAAAAGCACACCUCCCCCUUAAUUAAUGAAAACAUCUAAACUAAGUAAAAGGGCACAAUUACCGCUGCCGAAGAUAACGGCA
rnacentral:rRNA from 1 species